UUCGUCCACCAUACACGGAUAAUUUCGCAUCGCAAGGCAUCAGGUCUGAGAAAAGGAAUCUUCAAUUAGUUCGUGCUCGUUCCACGAAAUCCAAAUUCCUUUGAUCUAUUUCGAGUCAACCGGAGCCAAAUCGAGUUUCAAAACUAUCUCGAAUCGUCAUGACUUCAACACGGAAGUUGUUCCUCUCGUCAAGAUCUUUCCAUUGCCGCGAGUCUCACCUUGUUUCGUUCACCGAGCAAGGAGAAAAACGUGUUACAAGAUUCAGAUCUUAUAAGUUUGUACGGAGAGUAACGUAUUUUGAUUAAGAGAAGUGAACGCGCUUCGACUGCCAAAAAGGCAAGUGACACUCAA